rnacentral:rRNA from 1 species
CUUGGUGGCGAGUGGCGGACGGGUGAUGGAAUACAUCGGAAUCUACCUUUUGGUGGGGGAUAACGUAGGGAAACUUACGCUAAUACCGCAUACGCCCUUCGGGGGAAAGCCGGGGACCUUCGGGCCUGGCGCUGAUAGAUGAGCCGAUGUCGGAUUAGCUAGUUGGUGAGGUAAUGGCUCACCAAGGCGACGAUCCGUAGCUGGUCUGAGAGGAUGAUCAGCCACACUGGAACUGAGACACGGUCCAGACUCCUACGGGAGGCAGCAGUGGGGAAUAUUGGACAAUGGGCGCAAGCCUGAUCCAGCCAUACCGCGUGGGUGAAGAAGGCCUUCGGGUUGUAAAGCCCUUUUGUUGGGAAAGAAAAGCGAUCGGUUAAUACCCGGUUGUUCUGACGGUACCCAAAGAAUAAGCACCGGCUAACUUCGUGCCAGCAGCCGCGGUAAUACGAAGGGUGCAAGCGUUACUCGGAAUUACUGGGCGUAAAGCGUGCGUAGGUGGUGGUUUAAGUCCGUUGUGAAAGCCCUGGGCUCAACCUGGGAAUUGCAGUGGAUACUGGGUC